rnacentral:lncRNA from 1 species
UUCGCUAUGUUAUGUAUUUACAUUUCAUUUCAAUUGGGGCAUUCGGUUUUACAUAGUGUGUUCCAGAUAUUAAAAUCAACUGCCCAAGCUUAUAUCAUAAGUAUCUUUCUACCUCAUAUGCAAACCCUCUGAACCCUAGCUUCUGCAUGGAGUUGCGCAAACGGAUCGAAAAUCUCCCAUUUCCAUUGGCUACUAUUAUGAUUCUCAAACCUAAUUAUCAUAUAGGCAUGCAACCACGAAAGCUACAAAAACAUUCAUUCACAAGACAAUUUAAUAUUGAUUUCCUACCUCAUCUAAACUUCAAAUCUUACCACGCGAUGGAACUCAGACUGAAAGUUUCUUCACCUUCUCCUAGACGAAUAGUGGGUUACUCCUCUUCUUCUUGACAUCCAUCCUUUCGUCAUUUGAACAUAAAUAACCUCUACAUUAGGCUCCAGAGUAUUUGUUCCAUGGAUGCCACGGUACAUAUCAUGUUUCUCUCCAUCUGUAAAUUCUACUACGGUAGAGUAGUAGUAAAAUGUUACCCAUAAAAUAAAGAUCCACUAGCUACAAGUCUACAACUCAAAUUUGAAAAUACCUUUAGAAUAGAUCUUUCUAAUAUAUCGAACAUAUUUUGAAUUGUAAACUUACUAUGUGGGUAGCUAAACAUUUUAAUUCCUCUCCAGAAUAUCUAAAACAUCUUCCCCUGUGCAACUUUGCCCUUGAUAUCUCAUCAGGUGAUUCCUACAACGAAAAUAUUAUGUAAACGUAAGUCGAUAAUCAUUAACUUAAUAAUUAACUAAAUGACUUACUCAAUAUUCUUUUCCAGGAAAAUUCUAAAACCAUCCUCCUAGUACAUUUCCAUUAUCUUCUUCAGUCUCUUCAAUUCACUUUUUUGAUAUUGGUCUUUAGCUUCAUUCUUUUCAACCAAUCGAGCAUUUUCAUCUCGGGAUACGUUCGAUACGUUCUCUUCAGCCCAUCAAGAUCAUUCAGAUAACAUACAAGUCUGUUCUUUAACAAUGCUCCAGCACCUACAAACAACAUGCAGGUGAACACCAAACAAAUCCACAGCAGAUUGGCAUCAUCCACCUCUGUAGGCGUCAGCUCUGAUUUGUUCAGAAACUUCACAGAUUCAGUACCAAUCUCCUUCCUGUAUUAUCAAUACAAAAUCGGUAUCAGAUUCUUUUUGGGAAUCAAUUAAUAUAGAUAGACAAACUUUUUCAGGGACAUGUGUUCUAUGUGUACUCGUCAUAAAAAAGAGUCCUAUGAAAACCUUCUUCUAAUUCAACGUAAGAACCAACAUACAGAAUGUUGAAGAUUUUGUCCAGGUCCUCGAGCAUGAGGCGUAGUUGUACACGUCAUCAAGGAUAUAAGCAUCUACUGACACGUCUUCUAAAUUGAAGAAAGAUGCAAAUGGAGUUAGCAUUAUUCUUUCCAUCACCAAGGAGGACGGAUGUGCCUCACGUAUAAAACGUAGGAAUGAAACAGUGGAAGAGUGGUGCGAAAAACACUGCUCAACUGUCAAAAAUAUUACAAGUAUCAGAAGAUGCAAAAUUUUAAGGUCCUUAAAAAAUCUAAUUCGUAAGGCCCUAGAUACUCACCCGAUGACACAUUCCGUCUGAUAUGUCUUGGAGAGUGCGGGUUGAAGGAAGGAGCAGAAUAUCUUAAUCAUUGUUCACAUGGCCUUCAUCUUCCUUCUCAUCAUCAGUGUUGACAUAACCUUCAUCUUCUUUGGAUGCAGCCUUUGCAGAGGAGGGUGAUCUCUUACGUGACUGUUUGCAUGUAAGAACAGAAGAAUUAUACACAUUCAGACAUAAGUAAUUGUAAUAAAAUAGCAUAGAAUGACUUAUAGAACUAGAAUGAAUUAUAUGAAAUAGAUCUUUAGAAUUGUACAUUUCGAAAAAAAGUAACUGUAUAAAUUAGAGAUAUAGAAUUGUAUGAAAUAGAGCAUGUGAAUUGUACGAGACAGUACCCUAACCAAAACAAAAUUUCAAAUUGUACAUUUCGAGCUUAAAUAAUUGCAUAAAUUAGAGCUAUCGAAUUGUAUUAAAUGAUGCUACACAAUUGUAGAAGACUAGACAUGUGAAUUGUAUGAAUUAUAAAGAUAUUGAAUUGUAUGAAUUAGAGCUAAAGAAUUGUACUAAAUGAUGCUUGAGACAGUAGCCAUACCAAAAUAAAAUUUAAAAUUGUACAUUUCGAACUUAAAUAAUUGCAUGAAUUAGAGUAUGUAAAUUGUACUAAACGAUGCUACACUAUUGCAGAAGACUAAACAUUCAAGAUUGCAAUUUACAUAAUUCUAAAAAAAUUAACUUACGAUAUCAUUGAAGUCGUGUAACUGGUACGGUCGGAAUUUUAGAACUAUCUGGAUCGACUACACGUCUACAUCUAGGACGUAGACUGUAUA